rnacentral:tRNA from 1 species
ACUCAAGUAGGUUUUCUGUGCAUGAAUUACCGGUUUUUCCGGUUGUUUCUUGCUAUGAGCAUGGUUUCCUAAACCGUAGGUCGGGGGUUCGAGUCCCUUCCGGGACGCCA